CUAAGUUUGAUGGCGACCGGCGCACGGUUGAGUAACACGUAUCCAACCUGCCGAUGACUCGGGGAUAGCCUUUCGAAAGAAAGAUUAAUACCCGAUGGCAUAGUUCUUCCGCAUGGUAGAACUAUUAAAGAAUUUCGGUCAUCGAUGGGGAUGCGUUCCAUUAGGUUGUUGGCGGGGUAACGGCCCACCAAGCCUUCGAUGGAUAGGGGUUCUGAGAGGAAGGUCCCCCACAUUGGAACUGAGACACGGUCCAAACUCCUACGGGAGGCAGCAUG
rnacentral:rRNA from 1 species